CAGUGGUAACAACGAAAACAUCUCUGGAUAUUGUCAAAUGUCCCCUGGGGUGGAGGGCAAAACCACUCCUGAUUGACACCACAAACUGUCCAAAAUGCCACGCCACCAGUAAGUGAUAAUUGACUCCAUUCCCACAGAGACCCGCUGGACUUCACAUCUGCUCUGCCUAAUGGGACUGGGCUGCUAGAAGUAUCUUCAGACACCAGUGGGGUUGUCUCCAGCAAGAAGACUGCGGACCAUGCAUUAUUAUGUAUUAAGAGCUCUUUACUCAACCAGGAUAGACUCCUGCAGACUAAGGGCAGAACAACUCACUGGCCCUGAUGGCACCACUCAGACAUGCGCUAGCUCGCCCUAAGAGCUCUGCGGAGAGCGAAGAGGAAGGAAGUUGGAUAAAGAGUCAUUAAUGUACGAACUCGCAACUAGAAGACUACAUUCUGGAGAUCUAAUGCCACGCAUCAACCAAAUUAUUUUCUGUGUUUUCCUUGAGUGUCUCUCUCACACAGUGGGCUCACUAAUCUAUCAGCCACUACCUCACAGAGUCACACGUGGAUGAC